AACUUUGCUCAGGUUGUCCCUGAUGGAAUGUUGGUGUUUUUUCCAUCCUAUACCUCGCUUGAGGUCGCUGUUCAAAACUGGAAGACCAAAAAUAUUUGGCCGAGACUUGAGCAACGUAAACCUAUAUUCAUCGAACCUCGAAGGAAUGUUGAGUUUGCGGAGACUAUGGAUGGCUUUUAUGAAAA